CUCUAGGUCUCAAGGAAAAGAGAAGGCAUGGAAGUUUUACGGAGAAUGCGUGGUGUCAAGCUCCAGAGAAAUGAAGCUGCUGAGAUGAGGAGUGACAAGGAGGGGCUGAUGGAAGCCCUAGGUUAGAGGAUCCUUCCCUGGAGAGCAGAGUCAGUGCAGCUACUGGUCAGGUGGCCUUAGCUGGCACACAAGUAGAAACAGAUGUUGAGGGGGCAAGGAGGAGACUGGUUUGUGAAGCCAGAAAGAUGCAGACUUCAAUCCUGGACUCUUUCAUUUUCUAGUGAAGCGGGCAGUCAAAGAUGCUAACAUUUCCUCAGUCACAUUGUUUUGAAGAGAAAAUGAGGAAAGUGGAGGUCAUCAUCAUGGAGAGGCUGAGACAGCCAGUGGCAUCAAUUCACUUGGCCUCAUCAUUUGAAAGAGAUCAAUCCUCAAGAAGGAACUGUGUUGUAAGGAUGAAAUGAGGGUGAAGGGAAAGAGUCAGAGCAGCGCCUGCUCAAAGGAUGUGCUCAGUGGCAAAGAGUGAAGUUCUGUUUCACAAAAAGGGUGGUGGUGUUUGCUUGCUAUU